UACAGAGGUCCCAAGCGUUGUUCGGAUUCAUUGGGCGUAAAGGGGGCGUAGGCGGCGCGGUAAGUCGGGUGUGAAAUCUCGGAGCUUAACUCCGAAACUGCAUUCGAUACUGCCGUGCUUGAGGACUGGAGAGGAGACUGGAAUUUACGGUGUAGCGGUGAAAUGCGUAGAUAUCGUAAGGAAGACCAGUGGCGAAGGCGGGUCUCUGGACAGUUCCUGACGCUGAGGAGCGAAAGCGUGGGGAGCGAACAGG
rnacentral:rRNA from 1 species